GUCCACGCCCUAAACGAUGUCGACUAGGUGUUGGGAAGGAGACUUCCUUAGUACCGCAGCUAACGCGUGAAGUCGACCGCCUGGGGAGUACGGUCGCAAGAUUAAAACUCAAAGGAAUUGACGGGACCCGCACAAGCGGUGGAUGAUGUGGAUUAAUUCGAUGCAACGCGAAAACCUUACCUACCCUUGACAUGCCAGGAAGUCUGCUGAGAGGUGGAUGUGCCCGAAAGGGAACCUGGACACAGGUGCUGCAUGGCUGUCGU
rnacentral:rRNA from 1 species